UCAAACGGUGCAUAAUUAGGGAUGGAGAGCAUUUCACGCUUUAUAAAGUCCGUAUUGAAUUCGGGUGGAGCAUUGCUUGGUGGAGCAAUAGGUUUUCGAGCAGCCUUCUUAGCUAAUAAUCAGUUAAUAAAAUUGAGCAACAAAAAAUUAAACAAAGGAGUAGAGAUUCGGUCUUAAAAAAAGUUUCACAACAACCUUCUUAU